GUCAUUUUUAGAACCCAAAUGAUGUAUUCCCAAUUAGAAGUCAAACUCACUCUAACUUCAGUUUCUCCUCUUAUGAAUACUCUCAACACCGACGCUUGCGAUACAGAGAUAGAGAAGGAGGAAAAAAAAACCUUGCGAUACAGAGAAGGAGACAGAGUUCGUACCCGCCACCGUCCGUUCCAUUGCCAGAAUUAUACCACUGAAACCGGCGCCGGUAACGUAAAGGUGCACACAGGAAUUGAGAUACGGACAUAGAGAGAACUACCCCCGAGUGCAAACUUACCCACUUAGAUUUCUGCCACCAAGUUAGUUUAGAGUCACAAGAGAACGAUCGUUACAUCGUUUGAAGAUUCUUUUAAUAACCGUUUGGAAUAUGCUGAUACAAAAGGAGAGAGGACGAUAGAGAGACGAAGAAGAAGGAUUAUUAUAUAAGAAGAGAAAGCCAGUGGAGCAUACACAGGCCAAGAAGGGAGAAGGUUUUUAUGGUGAUUGGCUUUUUAAAUUGGCUUUUUGAUUGUUGAGUGGAACCAUGAAGGCAAGCAGAUAUAGAAGAUGUCCAUGAGACCAAAUGUAAGAGAGAAUUUGAGAGACAAGCAGCAUGGCAAGCGUUGGAGAUUUGUUGCCCAUCCAAAGAGAUUCACUGUAAGUCAUUAUUUUAGAGAGAGAGUCUGUAAUGCAAUGAGAGAGAAAUUUGAUGGCCCUGCCACUGCCUUCUCGGUCUUCUGCCACUGUCAUACUUUCAGAACCAUUACCGGUAAUUUUGUUCUAUCUACUUAUUUUUAAGUUAGGUGACAAAUAUGAUAUAGGAAUUAAUUUUGUUAGAGUUGCUUCUGUUUUUCAUAUUUGUGUCUAAUUUAGUUUUGUUUUGGGUAUGUUGGUUAAAUUAUUAAUAUCUUCUGUAACAAAAACUGAAAUGACUUUUCAAUUUGUAACAUUUGGCUUGAUCUGCAACAGAAAACUCCUUUUAGCCUAUUUUUCCCCGAAACCAAACACCCAAAAACCUUUAACCAAAGAGAGCCAUAAUAGGAACAACUGGUCAUGAGUCACAACCACAACCCAUCCAAGCAUCUACAAUGUCAACAAUGACAAGAAUAGAAGAGAUAAAAGCAGAAGCCUUUCCCUGCAAUUAAGCCCAUUGCAACAUGUAGGAAGCAUUUGGCAAGGGAAAGUGCUCACUUGGUUUUAAACAAAGCUCUCUCUCAAUGCAAGGAGUGUAGAUAAUGAAAAAUUAGAGACAAUGAAAUAGUAUUUGGAGAAGAUAAAGUAUUCAAAGAGGAUGAUCAACAUUGCUAUGCUGAAACUUGGGAAUAUGGUGUUGCAGAGAAGAAACAGAACAAAGAACCCUCCCACCACUGACCUGCCAGAACUGCAAACAAUAAGUUUUCCUCUUUAUUUUUCAAUUUGUGCAUUAAAUAUUAUCUUCUUUUUCUAUAAUAGUUGGAUUGGUUUGGAUGUAUAUCAUUGGGUUAUUUGUGGCUUUGAUUAAGGUUUUUGCAUUAUGAUGGUGGUGUUUAGGUUAAAACACAUACGAAUGGAAUUAAAGUCGGUGACGUGACUAGCAUAAGAAGCAGGUACACUCUGCACCACUUAGCGGUGGCGCAUCCCAAGUGGAAACUGCAUCACAUCUCUUUGACUCACCAAACCCUCCCUUCAUCAAAACCCCACUGACUGCAAUGCUUAAUAGAAAAAAUUUUUAGCUAGAAGUCCAGUAUUUCUUCUUUUCUUGGUUUGGAUGGAAUUGGAUUUUUUUGGUAGUUAUGGUUGUGACUCCUAUUUUGGUACUUAACUUGGGACUAUUUUCAAUUAACAUGUAGAACAGUAACAAAUUUGUUAUUUGUUCUUUGUGAGAUGUAUACAUGUUGAUUGUGAUUUUUAUGUUGCAGAAGCCAUUAAUAGUCGGAAAGAAUCCUUAAAAUUGCUUCUAAUAUUGCUGCAUUUGGAUGAUUUAAAAGUUAUAUAGGCAUGGCUUUAUGCAUAAACUUGUGAUUUUUUUGCUGCUUUUGCAUGUUUGAGCUUUUGACAUCUGAUUUUUUGAGUGAAGAUAAUGGGAUUUUUCUCCUCAGUCUAUGUGUGUGUUUAAUUGUAAUAUAUGUGUUCCAAUUUUGGUAUUAUUCAAUUCUAAUAUGUGGGCGUUGCAUUGUGUUAAUCUUAUAGGAGUCUAACACUAAUCAUCUUAAAUGCCAUUUCAAUUUUUGGUACAUGUUAGUCUAUUGGUUAAAUAUUUUCGUAUUUUUAGCUUCUAUUGAGAGAUGAUGUCUUUAGGAAAUGUCUUUGAAAUUCCUAUCCACAAUCUAUCUUUUUCUGAGUUAAUUAUUUUUUAAAGAUGAUGCUUAUUCCUAAAUCAGUUUAUGAUUCUUGAUAUGCAGAGUAUUUACAAAUAGAAUGUGCUAUAUAUAUAUAUAUAUAUAUAUGUUAUUCCAAAUGCUUCCUGAACAUUGAAUUUACAUUUUAAAUUAGUUUAGUCUUGGUUCCAUGAGCAUUCAACAUUACAGGCAUUCUUUUUUUACUUAUACCCAAAAUUUUGUACAUGCAUGUGUUUGUUGCACCCAUACCCAGUUAGUGACAAAUAUAUUGAAUGAUUUAUGUUAAUAAUAAUCCUUUGAAGUUUAUAGAGUGCAUCAUAGUGCACCAUUCUCUAAUUUAUGUUGAUGUUACUUUGUUAGGUCUUAAUUGCUAUUAAGAGCCGGAGAGUAGGAGAGUAGUUGAGAAACUGCCAGAGACAAAUAAGGAAAUGGCUAUAAAUGAAGUUAAGAAGAGGGCAAAAAUUGUCAAUAUCCUUAUGCACCAAGAAAUUUAUGGAAAAGGAUUGCGCUAAAAAGCAUCAAGUAGAUGUACAUGGCUUAGGAAAGGGAUCAGGUAGCUGCAGAUUUCUCUAUGAGAUUUCAUAAAUGUAACUUUGAUUUAGUGCUACUAUCUUUUAUUUUUUUAUAGGGCGGUAUAGUGAUUGGUAUUGAUAAAACUCUAUAAUAUAAUUUUUACAAGAGUUUUAGUUUUUUAUUUUUUUUCCUACCCUAAGAUAUAUCUUUUGUCCAGUCUUUGUAUUCUUGAAAUUAAUUGUACUUUGUGUAGUUUAAAUUGGAUUCUUAUAGUAAGAAUCCUGUAAUCGUGACAAACAUAGUUUGUAUAAUUGAGGUUCUUUGUAUUUUCCUUA